GUCACACCAUGGGAGUUGGUAAUGCCCGAAGUCAGUGACCCAACCGCAAGGAGGGAGCUGCCGAAGGCAGGACUGAUAACUGGGGUGAAGUCGUAACAAGGUAAC
rnacentral:rRNA from 1 species